rnacentral:lncRNA from 1 species
AUCAAGCAAAAUCAACCUUUGAAUUUGGAUGGCAUUGCAAUUUCAGUUUUGCUUUUUGCUUUUCAAGUCAAUACUUUAGGGUAUUUCUCGAAAGGUGGGUCCAUUUACUUUUUGAAUGAUACAACUCCCACCUCACCUCAGAGUCUUAAAAUUUUUAAAAAUCAUUUUAAUAGUUUAUGUUUUUAUAAUUUUAAAAAAAUAAAUUAGACUUUUAUCAUUGUAAUGGGCCAAUUUAACCCGGGCCCGUAUAAAUACAAAACCAAAAAUAAUAAACAAAAAAUACAUUAACAGUCCAAUAAAAGUCCAUCAGUCCAAGUUACAUAACCCAAUUUUAAACCCAAGAUAUUACAAACCCAAAUUCACAAGGCCCAAUAGGCCCAGAAUGUUAAGCCAAGACAAACCCUAAAUCACCCCCUUUCUCCUGCGCCGCAACAGCAACUGGACAGUAGCUCCACGCCUCCGUACCCGCGCCAACACAGCUCCGUACGGCCUCCUGGCACCACGUCCACACCCCAAACGCCAGCACGAUCCUCGUACACGCACCUGUACCUGCAAACAAACAAGGCAGACGCGACAGCAAAUAGAAAAAAGAAAAAAACAUUGUAUUUUCUUUAAUUUUUAACAUUCGGCUAUAAAGCCUACCAAUUCUGAUUGUAAAGGGGUUCCCCUUUUGAAAAAAACAGAGGAAACAUACGCAAUAGCAAAGCAAUAGAAAAGCAAUAGAACAAGAAGGUGAUUUAUUUUCGAACGCCUUGUGCUUCCUUCUUUUUCGCAUCUGUUUCAUCUUCUUUUCGUUUUCAUAUGUUUUCUGUAUAAUAAAAUAAAAAAGAGAGAGAGCGAAACCUUACCUUCGCAUACGAGCCAUCGAAGACCUCGUCUCCUUCUCUGAAAUCGAAGUCGGCGAUGAGAUUUCAGGGCUUAAAUCGAUGAGCUCCACAAUGGAGUGAACGGAAGAACGAAAAGGGGGGUACCGAAGGAUAUCACUCAUCGUGGCGGUGAUGAAAGGAUGGCUGAACGGCGCAGAACCGUUAGGGUUCCCCUCUCCCUUUUUUUUUCGUCCGAAAUGCCUAGGGUUCUCAGGGGUUGUGCCCUCUUUUAAUCUGCAAUGCGAAACGGUGCCGUUUGAGGCAUGGUUUGUAGCCUUAAAACGACACCGUAUAGAGAACCCGACCGACCCGAUUCCUGGCCCCAAGGACUCGCCCGUUUCUGCGGUGAGGGACUAUUUCCAAUAUCAGUCCUCCCUAUUUCGAAUGCGCAUUCAAUCGCGCCCUGAUUGUUCCACUUCUUUUUUUUCAAAUUAGCUCGGUUAUUCGCGCGUGUUUGUAAAUUAGUCCGAGUUUUAGUGAUGCACUGUGAGGAGUGGUAUAUUUUCAGUUUAGGUCCUUUUGUAUUUACGCGCGUUGCGUAUUGGUCCUCUUUCAUUUUUGUUUUGUUUCGAAAUUAUCCCUUUCAUUCGGGAUUGAUUCUGAUUAUAUCCUUUUAGCUUAUAGUUUUCGUUUCUCGAUUAUUUAUUUAUACAUUUUAAUCUAUCUUAGUAUUUGCUUCUCUUUUAUUAUUU